CCCAUGGGCGGAGAAGCCGGAGGGCGACCGACGGUGGAGCGCAUGGGAGUGAGAAUGCUGGCAUGAGUAGCGAGAGACGAGAGAGUAACUCGUCCGCCGUGAACCCGAGGUUUCCUGGGCAAGGCUAAUCCUCCCAGGGUCAGUCGGGGGCUAAGGCGAGGCCGGGAGGCGUAGCCGACGCGCAGCAGGCAGACAUUCCUGCACCGCGCACGCGGCGCUACGACCGACGGGGCGACGGAUGGGGGUGGCUCGGCGGGGUUCUGGACGUCCCCGUGAUGGAGCGCGGCCCGCGGACCAGGGAAAUCCGGUCCGCACGAAGGGCGAGGCUCCGGACGAAGCGAUCAAGCGAAGCGAGUGAGCCCGAGGUCCCUAGAAAAACCCCUAGGCAGGCGCGUGCGCGCCCGUACCGCAAACCGACACAGGUGGGUGGGUAGAACAUACCGAGGCGAUCGGGUCAACCAUGGUCAAGGAACUCGGCACAAUGGCCCCGUAACUUCGGGAGAAGGGGUGCCCGCGCGUACGUGAACGGACUUGCUCCGGGAGCGGAGGCGGGCCGCAGUGGAGAGGCCCAAGCGACUGUUUACCAAAAACACAGGACUCUGCAGAAGCCGCAAGGCGACGUAUAGGGUCUGACGCCUGCCCGGUGCCGGAAGGUCACGCGGAGGAGUUAGCCGAUUCGGCGAAGCCCCGAAGCCAAGCCCCGGUAAACGGCGGCCGUAACUAUAACGGUCCUAAGGUAGCGAAAUUCCUUGUCGGGUAAGUUCCGACCUGCACGAAAGGCGCAACGACUUGGGCGCUGUCUCGACCAUGGACCCGGUGAAAUUGCACUGGUCGUGAAGAUGCGACUUACCCGCGGAAGGACGGAAAGACCCCGUGAACCUUCACUGCAGCUUGGCAUUGGCCGCUGGUCCCGCGUGUAGAGGAUAGGCAGGAGGCUAAGAUCCGGAGGCGCCAGCCCCCGGGGAGCCGCCCUUGGAAUACUGCCCUCGCGCGACCGGCGUCCUAACCCGAGGCCGUCAACCGGCUCGGGGACCGUGCCAGGCGGGCAGUUUGACUGGGGCGGUCGCCUCCUAAAGGGUAACGGAGGCGCGCGAAGGUCCGCUCGGGACGGUCGGCAACCGUCCUUUUGAAUGCAAGAGUACAAGCGGGCUUGACUGCGAGGCCCACAAGCCGAGCAGGUGCGAAAGCAGGCUCUAGUGAUCCGGCGGCCCCGAGUGGGUGGGCCGUCGCUCAACGGAUAAAAGGUACUCCGGGGAUAACAGGC
rnacentral:rRNA from 1 species